rnacentral:rRNA from 1 species
CCAGCCCGCUCAGAACUUAAAGGAAGUUGACGGGGGCCCGCACAAGCGGUGGAGCAUGUGGUUUAAUUCGAUGAUACGCGAGGAACCUUACCUGGGCUCAAAUGUAUGUUGACGUAUUCUGAAAGGGAUACUUCUUCGGACAAUAUACAAGGUGCUGCAUGGUUGUCGUCAGCUCGUGCCGUGAGGUGUCGGGUUAAGUCCCAUAACGAGCGCAACCCCUACCUUUAGUUGCCAUCAGGUAAUGCUGGGGACUCUAAAGGAACUGCCUACGCAAGUAGUGAGGAAGGCGGGGAUGACGUCAAAUCAGCACGGCCCUUACGUCCAGGGCUACACACGUGCUACAAUGGCCGAUACAGAGGGCAGCUACCUGGUGACAGGAUGCAAAUCUCCAAAGUCGGUCUCAGUUCGGAUCGGAGUCUGCAACCCGACUCCGUGAAGUUGGAUUCGCUAGUAAUCGCGCAUCAGCCAUGGCGCGGUGAAUACGUUCCCGGGCCUU